GCAUUUUGAAGACACCAUCAUCAGACUCUUUUUCAGCCAGCUCAUGGACCUGAUAGAUUUAUGUUGGAUGGACAAUUAAAUAAAAGAAUAAUGAUCACUGAUAUGAAAAGAAAGAGGGAACAUAUGCAAACAUCAGAACCAGCUGAAUUUAUCAAACAUAAGACCAUAAGGUAAUAUGGUAUGCUGAAAGACAUGUAUAUAAAUCUCAACAAGUGUUUCUGUAUUUAUUGUAUUAAAAAUAAAGCUACAUAUAAAAUUUUAACUGCUGUCAACUCUUUUAUUUUUAUGUGUUGCACUUGGAAUCUGAUGAAUCCUCAUGUUGUGUUCACUGUUCAGCACAUAAUGUU
rnacentral:misc_RNA from 1 species